AUGAAGAUGGCGACUUGCAUUCGUAAGGUGGCCUCGGAGGAGUUUGGAGUGUCCGGGGGAAGGAGAAGCGAAGAUAAGGAUACCUGGUGGUGGAAUGAUGAUGUCCAGAAGGCGCUUAAAGAGAAGAAAGAUUGCUUCAGACGCCUAUACCUGGAUAGGAGUGCAGACAACAUAGAGAAGUACAAGAUGGCGAAGAAGGCCGCAAAGCGAGCUGUUGGUGAAGCAAGGGGUCGGGCAUAUGAGGACCUCUACCAAUGGUUAGGCGCGAAGGAAGGUGAAAGGGACAUCUAUAAGAUGGCUAAGAUCCGGGAGAGGAAGACGAGGGAUAUUGGCCAAGUCAAAUGCAUCAAGGACGGAGCAGGCCAACUCUUGGUGAAGGACGAAGAGAUUAAGCAUAGAUGGCGGGAGUACUUCGACAAGCUGUUCAAUGGGGAGAAUGAGAGUUCUACCAUUGAACUGAAUGACUCCUUUGAUGAGACCAGCAUGCGUUUUGUGCGGCGCAUCCAGGAGUCUGAGGUGAAGGAGGCUUUAAAAAGGAUGAAAGGAGGCAAGGCGAUGGGCCCUGAUUGUAUCCCCAUUGAGGUGUGGAAAGGUCUCGGGGACAUAGCGAUAGUAUGGCUAACCAAGCUUUUCAACCUCAUUUUUCGGGCAAACAAGAUGCCAGAAGAAUGGAGACGAAGUAUAUUAGUACCAAUCUUCAAGAACAAGGGGGAUGUUCAGAGUUGUACUAAUUACCGUGGAAUUAAGCUGAUGAGCCAUACAAUGAAGCUAUGGGAGAGAGUCAUUGAGCACCGCUUAAGAAGAAUGACAAGCGUGACCAAAAAUCAGUUUGGUUUCAUGCCUGGGAGGUCGACCAUGGAAGCCAUUUUCUUGGUACGACAACUUAUGGAGAGAUAUAGGGAGCAUAAGGAGGACUUGCAUAUGGUGUUCAUUGACUUGGAGAAGGCCUAUGAUAAGAUACCGCGGAAUGUCAUGUGGUGGGCCUUGGAGAAACACAAAGUCCCAGCAAAGUACAUUACCCUCAUCAAGGACAUGUACAAUAAUGUUGUGACAAGUGUUCGAACAAGUGAUGUCGACACCGAUGACUUCCCGAUUAAGAUAGGACUGCAUCAGGGGUCAGCUUUGAGCCCUUAUCUUUUUGCAUUGGUGAUGGAUGAGGUCACAAGGGGUAUACAAGGAGAUAUCCCAUGGUGUAUGCUCUUUGCGGAUGAUGUGGUGCUAGUUGACGAUAGUCGGACGGGGGUAAAUAGGAAGUUAGAGUUAUGGAGACAAACCUUGGAAUCGAAAGGUUUUAGGCUUAGUAGAACUAAAACCGAGUACAUGAUGUGCGGUUUCAGUACUACUAGCUGUGAGGAGGAGGAGGUUAGCCUUGAUGGCCAGGUGGUACCUCGGAAGGACACCUUUCGGUAUUUGGGGUCAAUGUUGCAGGAGGAUGGGGGUAUUGAUGAAGAUGUGAACCAUCGAAUCAAAGCCGGAUGGAUGAAGUGGCGCCAAGCUUCUGGCAUUCUCUGUGACAAGAGAGUGCCACAAAAGCUAAAAGGCAAGUUCUACAGGACGGCGGUUCAACCCGCAAUGUUGUAUGGCGCGGAGUGUUGGCCGACUAAAAGGCGACAUGUUCAAUAG
rnacentral:rRNA from 1 species